CCAGCAGCCGCGGUAAUUCCAGCUCUAAUAGCGUAUAUUAAAGUUGUUGCAGUCAAAAAGCUCGUAGUCGGAUGUCGGGCUCGGGCAAGCUGUCGGCCUUUGGUCGGACGGCAGGCUCGGGUCUUUCUGCCUGAGGAACCCGGUUGCUUUAACGAGCUGCCGGUGGACGCAGGUCGUUUACUUUGAAAAAAUUAGAGUGUUCAAAGCAGGCUAGCGCUUGAAUACAUUAGCAUGGAAUAAUGGAAUAGGACUUUGGUCCUAUUUUGUUGGUUUUCGGGACCGAAGUAAUGAUUAAUAGGGACAGUUGGGGGCAUUCGUAUUUAAUUGUCAGAGGUGAAAUUCUUGGAUUUAUGAAAGACGAACUUCUGCGAAAGCAUCUGCCAAGGAUGUUUUCAUUAAUCAAGAACGAAAGUUAGGGGCGCGAAGACGAUCAGAUACCGUCGUAGUCUUAACCAUAAACCAUGCCGACUAGGGAUGGGCAGGCGUUCUUUCGUGACCCUGUCCGCACCUUACGAGAAAUCAAAGUCUUUGGGUUCCGGGGGGAGUAUGGUCGCAAGGCUGAAACUUAAAGGAAUUGACGGAAGGGCACCACCAGGAGUGGAGCCUGCGGCUUAAUUUGACUCAACACGGGGAAACUUACCAGGUCCAGACAUAGUAAGGAUUGACAGAUUGAUAGCUCUUUCUUGAUUCUAUGGGUGGUGGUGCAUGGGCCGUUCUUAGUUGGUGGAGUGAUUUGUCUGGUUGAUUCCGUUAACGAACAAGACCUUAACCUGCUAAAUAGUUACGCGAACCCUGGGUUCGUGGACAACUUCUUAGAGGGACUGUUGGCGUUUAGCCAAUGGAAGUUUGAGGCAAUAACAGGUCUGUGAUGC
rnacentral:rRNA from 1 species